CGGUGACUCGAUCAUUUCUCCGGGAAGAGUUUUGGGUCAGCGACGAUACAUUUGUAUAACCUACUCUAUCCUAAUCUAGGGGGAGGGGGAGCCUAAGGAGGCUGUUGUAGGGGCUAGUGGGUAUACAGACCCAACUAGACCAAGGGAGUGCUAUGGCACAACCCUUAGAUUUUUUUUCGUUGCUGGUGAGGUUUGAACCCUCACCAACAGCCCAAAGAGGGACUUAAGUCCCUCCCUGGUGGCCAUUGAGCCAUU
rnacentral:lncRNA from 1 species